GUGAGGGUAGAGUCCACUGGCACGCACAAGUGCAUCCAAGGAGGCAGCCCCCAAAGACUCGUUUGAGCUGACAAUAAGAACACUGGAGGCUGGGAAGGAAGUGCAUGAUAGGACCAGGUUUGCUGUUGACACCCUGUUCUUCAUGCUGGUAAAUUCACAAAGGCUAGAGAAAGCCCAAAGAAAGCUGCGAAGUCUGUUACAACGGCACCUCACCAAGAACAAUGUGUUUUGCUCAACACUGCAGUUAUGGCCAGAGACAAGAGGCCUUUCAGAAGUACCAAGGAUAUAAAUGAUGGGUUGAGACACUUCCAUUUUCCUCUAAGGACUGUUAUCAGGCUAUGAUCACCGAUCCCUCAGAAACCACCAAAUUCCAGUUCCGAAAUCUGAGACCUCCACAUGGGACUGGCAGAUAAGAAACAAGAUGUAUGAAAGCCUCACAUCUUCUUGGAGCAGCAGCUGGAACUUGGGUGGAAUACCCUGGAGCAUCACUGUAUUCCCAAGACUAAGCGACUACAUUAGCCCAUGGAGCUGGUUUAGCCUUGGCAUAUGCUCCUAAAGCAGAUACCUAAAUCAAGGACUCAUCCUACUUUCUUCUGUUGAUCGUAAAGGAAAUC